rnacentral:ncRNA from 1 species
UGACACGGGGUGCUUCACGCUGAGAUCAAACCCGUUGAACCUGUCCAGAUAAUGCUGACGAAGGAAUGUC